UAUUGACCCCACGGGAGUGCGCAUCAGGAUCGAAUUGGGAUCGCAAGGUGGCUAAAGAUUGCAGGGGCUUCACAAGCUGCACGUCUAGAUCAUGACUCCAGUUACACACAUGUGGCAUCAGUCUGCCAAAAUAACAACCUGGAUAUCAAAGAAAACAAUGAACAUGGCUGGGGAUUUGGAAUAGCUGUGACGCGCUCUCCUCAUUCCUGGUGAUGGUGGUGUCUCCAGUGCAUGGACUGGCGUUGUGUCUCAGGACCGUACUAGAAGAUUCAGGUUUCA